rnacentral:rRNA from 1 species
CACUCCUACGGGAGGCAGCAGUGGGGAAUUUUGGACAAUGGGCGAAAGCCUGAUCCAGCAAUGCCGCGUGAGUGAAGAAGGCCUUCGGGUUGUAAAGCUCUUUUGUCAGGGAAGAAACGGUGAAAGCUAAUAUCUUUUGCUAAUGACGGUACCUGAAGAAUAAGCACCGGCUAACUACGUGCCAGCAGCCGCGGUAAUACGUAGGGUGCAAGCGUUAAUCGGAAUUACUGGGCGUAAAGCGUGCGCAGGCGGUUUUGUAAGUCUGAUGUGAAAUCCCCGGGCUCAACCUGGGAAUUGCAUUGGAGACUGCAAGGCUAGAAUCUGGCAGAGGGGGGUAGAAUUCCACGUGUAGCAGUGAAAUGCGUAGAUAUGUGGAGGAACACCGAUGGCGAAGGCAGCCCCCUGGGUCAAGAUUGACGCUCAUGCACGAAAGCGUGGGGAGCAAACAGGAUUAGAAACCCGGGUAGUCCCA